GCUUCCAUAGUGUAGUGGUUAUCACGUUCGCCCUACACGCGAAAGGUCCCUAGUUCAAAACUGGGUGUAAACA